UACAGAGGUCCCAAGCGUUGUUCGGAUUCAUUGGGCGUAAAGGGUGCGUAGGCGGCGCGGUAAGUCGGGUGUGAAAUUUCGGAGCUUAACUCCGAAACUGCAUUCGAUACUGCCGUGCUUGAGGACUGGAGAGGAGACUGGAAUUUACGGUGUAGCAGUGAAAUGCGUAGAGAUCGUAAGGAAGACCAGUGGCGAAGGCGG
rnacentral:rRNA from 1 species